rnacentral:rRNA from 1 species
UUUGGCAUUCAGGGGCGUAAGGGAGCGCGACGGCAUUUUGAGAAAGAUGUGGAAGCCCCGGGCUCAGGAGUUGAACUGCGUUCUGAACUGGGUGACUAGAGUGUGUCAGAGGGAGGUAGAAUUCCACGUGUAGCAGUGAAAUGCGUAUAGAUGUGAAGGAAUACCGAUGGCAAAGGCAGCCUCCUGGGAAUAACUGACGUUCAUGCUAGAAAGCGUGGGUAGCAAACAGGAUUAGAUACCCUGGUAGUCCACGCCCUAAACGAUGUCAAUUAGCUGUUGGGCAACUUGAUUGCUUAGUAGCGUAGCUAACGCGUGAAAUUGACCGCCUGGGGAGUACGGUCGCAAGAUUAAAACUCAAAGGAAUUGACGGGGACCCGCACAAGCGGUGGAUGAUGUGGAUUAAUUCGAUGCAACGCGAAGAACCUUACCUGGUCUUGACAUGUACGGAAUCCUCCAGAUACGGAGGAGUGCCUUCGGGAGCCGUAACACAGGUGCUGCAUGGCUGUCGUCAGCUCGUGUCGUGAGAUGUUGGGUUAAGUCCCGCAACGAGCGCAACCCUUGUCAUUAGUUGCCAUCAUUUAGUUGGGCACUCUAAUGAGACUGCCGGUGACAAGCCGGAGGAAGGUGGGGAUGACGUCAAGUCCUCAUGGCCCUUAUGACCAGGGCUUCACACGUCAUACAAUGGUCGGUACAGAGGGUAGCCAAGCCGCGAGGUGGAGCCAAUCUCACAAAACCGAUCGUAGUCCGGAUUGCACUCUGCAACUCGAGUGCAUGAAGUCGGAAUCGCUAGUAAUCGCAAGUCAACAUACUGCGGUGAAUACGUUCCCGGUCUUGUCCCCCCCCCCCUAAA